UUCUGGGAGUAUUGACAGAUUGAGAGCUCUUUCUUGAUUCGGUUUAUGGUGGUGCAUGAACGUUCUUAGUUGGUGGAGCGAUUUGUUUGGUUAAUUCCCAUAACGAACGAGACUCUAGCCUAUAAAAUAGGUGCUUGGUUCUCUGUACCUUGCACCCUUCUUAGAGGGACAAGCGGCUCCUAGCCGCACGAAACAGAGCAAUAACAGGUAGGUGAUGCCUUAGAU
rnacentral:rRNA from 1 species